GGCAGAGCACAAGAACUCAGACAGAUCCCCCGCCUCCAUGUCAAUCCCCCUUACCUGUCAACCCUGAAUCCAUAGCUUGUAUGUACCUUUAUGAAAAAUCAGAAAGUGUCCUUGACUUAUUUACAUCUUCAUUCUCAUCCUCAUCCACUCAACCCUUUAUUGUUUCCAGGUUACAAAGCACUUUGACAUCCAUAAGCUCACCCAACAACAGACAACUCUGUGAAAUCGGUAUUACUAUUUGCAUUUUUCAGAGGAAGAAUUAGAGGUUAAGAAAGGGAGCUGAAGCAACUUGCUCACCUUGGUGUAGAGUUGAGACUGAACCAGGCUCGCUCUCUUGACUCGAAGAGCUGUGCACUUUGCCUGCCCCCAAAUGGCCUUUACCUGAUGAUGUCAGGACUGUUCGCUGAGAUGAGAAGUUUCUGAGCUGCUGCCCACCCCAGGAAAUGAAGUCUAGAACAAGAAGGAAGUGAUAAAUUCAUAGGCUCAAUGAAUCCUAGGACUGGAAGGAGUCUUGACAUCCCCUGGCCAAUCCUCUUCAAUUUUUCAGUGGGGAAAAUGAGGCCCAUAGCAUCAUGUAUCAUGUUCAAAGUCAUGCACUGUGUCAGGAUCAAAGCCAGUGCUCAAGCAUGUGUCCUUUGCCUUCACCUUGCAUGCCAUUACCCUGUGCUCAGCUACUGUUAACUUUUACCCAUUUUUCAGUCACUGGCAACUGAUUUUUCAGUCAUCACAACUACUUUAAAACCCUUUGACCAUCACUUGGGGGACAAUGUAACAUUUUCAAACAGCUUGGAGAAUGAACCGAAGAACCCUGGAUGGAGGAAGGCCAGGAUGCUCCAAUCUCAGCUGUCAAUUUGCAUUUGAUGCAUUCUGUGCCAGGAAUUCGAUUUAUUGCUGGUGAGAAUGGUGAUUCAUGCUCUUCUGAUGCCAACCAACUAAUUUAUCCUGCCUUGACUUGGCCUGGAAAUCUGCCGUUUGCACAUGAGAAACCACAGAAGGCUGAGAUCUCCACUGCUUUCCAAGGUAUGAUGGGGUAUUGCGAGUGGUGCCAACUGGGACAGGAGGACACUCAGCCUGUGCCCAGGAAUGAGGGAAGGCUUUUAGGAAGAGGUGACAUCCAAACAAAGCUUAAAGAAGAGGAAGAGUUCUAUAAACAAAGAAGGCUUGUCUGAAUGUCCACCUCGGCAGGAGGUGCAGCCUACCAAGUGAACAAUGAACAGUCCAGUGGGGUGACUAAAGAAGUAAUGGACUAAUUGAAGCAAUUCACUAUGGGGAAACUGAGUCUUGUUGAAUUUAGGAAAUGGCCUGGAUCUCACAGCUGGCAACUGGAAGAGAUGAAGUUAAAUCCAGGUCUGACUGAUGCCAAAGUUCAUGUUCUCUCCCCUGCACUGUGUGUCUCUCUGAAGAUAGUUAUUGCCCUGGAGCAAGAAAACUGCCCAAGAUCUCCUGAGGAGACUGUGUGUGUUGCUUUCCCAUAAUGCUGUGCUGCUUUGUUCUACAGAGGUGCAUAAUUAUUUCACUCAACAAGACCUCAAAUCUUACUCCAGACUACUGGCUUCCAAAGAAUUGGCUGUUUUCCCUGUUUUUAAUGUUGGGGGAAGAAACCCAACCAGCUAUUUUUCUCUUUUACUCCAUUACUUUACAAGAACAAAAAUAAUCA